rnacentral:rRNA from 1 species
UACAGAGGUCUCAAGCGUUGUUCGGAUUUAUUGGGCGUAAAGGGUGCGUAGGCGGCAGGGUAAGUUAGGUGUGAAAUAUCGAGGCUCAACUUCGAUACUGCACUUGAUACUGCCUUGCUCGAGUGCUAGAGAAGAAGCUGGAAUUUACGGUGUAGCAGUGAAAUGCGUAGAUAUCGUAAGGAACGCCAGUGGCGAAAGCGAGCUUCUAGAUAGUUACUGACGCUGAGGCACGAAAGCUGGGGGAGCAAACGGG